CCUACGGGCGACAGCAGUGAGGAAUAUUGGUCAAUGGGCGCUAGCCUGAACCAGCCAUGUAGCGUGAAGGAUGACUGCUCUAUGGGUUGUAAACUGCUUUUAUAUAGGAGUAAAUUUCAGUAUGUAUACUGCUUUGCAUGUACCUUAUGAAUAAGGAUCGGCUAACUCCGUGCCAGCAGCCGCGGUAAUACGGAGGAUCCGAGCGUUAUCCGGAUUUAUUGGGUUUAAAGGGAGCGUAGGCGGGUUGUUAAGUCAGAUGUGAAAGUUUGCGGCUAAACUGUAAAAUUGCAUUUGAUACUGUUAUUCUAGAGUGUAGGAGCGGUAGGCGGAAUUCGUGGUGUAGCGGUGAAAUGCUUAGAUAUCACGAAGAACACCGAUUGCGAAGGCAGCCUGCUGGACUAUAACUGACGCUGAUGCACGAAAGUGUGGGGAGCAAACAGGAUUAGAUACCCUUGUAGUC
rnacentral:rRNA from 1 species